AUGUGGCUUGCUGUACACAGAAGAUGUCUGACGGCGGACAAUUUGGAAAAAAGAAACUGGCCAUCUAAUGGCAUCUACCCUUUGUGCUGUUCUGCGCCUGAAACAUGCUCGCACCUAUUUGUGCACUAUCAGUUUACCAGACUAGUCUGGCUGCGGUUCAGGACAUGGACUAGGGCUGAUUUCUUGAUCCCGGAAGUCAAUUUCAGUACAACUGAAGACUGGUGGCUGAAGGCGAGGGAGGGAAUCCCGGAACCAAUGAGGAAGAACUUUGAUACAAUUGUCAUUCUUGUACACUGGAGGAUCUGGAAGGAAAGGAACGCGAGGAUAUUUGAUAAUGCGAGCUGCACAACAGACAAAGUUCGGGACUUGGUAAUUGAGGAUAUAGGCAUUUGGAGAUCCGCGGGCUGUAUCAGCGACCUGACGGCCUGA
rnacentral:rRNA from 1 species